UGGGGAAUAUUGCACAAUGGGCGCAAGCCUGAUGCAGCCAUGCCGCGUGUGUGAAGAAGGCCUUCGGGUUGUAAAGCACUUUCAGCGAGGAGGAAGGUGGUGGACUUAAUACGUUCAUCAAUUGACGUUACUCGCAGAAGAAGCACCGGCUAACUCCGUGCCAGCAGCCGCGGUAAUACGGAGGGUGCAAGCGUUAAUCGGAAUUACUGGGCGUAAAGCGCACGCAGGCGGUUUGUUAAGUCAGAUGUGAAAUCCCCGGGCUCAACCUGGGAACUGCAUUUGAAACUGGCAAGCUAGAGUCUCGUAGAGGGGGGUAGAAUUCCAGGUGUAGCGGUGAAAUGCGUAGAGAUCUGGAGGAAUACCGGUGGCGAAGGCGGCCCCCUGGACGAAGACUGACGCUCAGGUGCGAAAGCGUGGGGAGCAAAACAGGAUUAGAUACCCUGGUAGUCCACGCUGUAAAACGAUGUCGAUUUGGAGGUUGUGCCCCUUGAGGCGUGGCUUCCGGAGCUAACGCGUUAAAUCGACCGCCUGGGGAGU
rnacentral:rRNA from 1 species